UACGUAGGGGGCAAGCGUUGUCCGGAAUUAUUGGGCGUAAAGAGCGUGUAGGCGGCCAGAUAAGUCCGCUGUGAAAUCUCGAGGCUCAACUUCGAGCUGUCGGUGGAAACUAUCUGGCUAGAGUCCGGAAGAGGAGAAUGGAAUUCCUGGUGUAGCGGUGAAAUGACGCAGAUAUCAGGAAGAACACCCGUGGCGAAGGCGGCUCUCUGGGACGGUACUGACGCUGAGACGCGAAAGCGUGGGGAGCGAACAGG
rnacentral:rRNA from 1 species